rnacentral:rRNA from 1 species
AAAGCGAUGAAGGACGUGGCCAGCUGCGAUAAGCUCGGACGAGACGCUUACAGUUUUUGACUCCGAGAUCUCCGAAUGGGGAAACCCAGCAGAGGUAACGCUCUGUUAUCCGUGACUGAAUUCAUAGGUUGCGGAAGCGAACGCGGGGAACUGAAACAUCUUAGUACCCGCAGGAAAAGAAAUCAACCGAGAUUCCGUUAGUAGUGGCGAGCGAACGCGGAUUAGCCCAAACCGACGCUUUUUAGCGGCGGGGUUAGAGGGGCCUCAUAAAGGUAUAAUAAUCUUAGACGAACGGCUUGGAAAAGUCGGCCAUAGAAGGUAAUAGCCCUGUAUUUUAAAAGGUUGUUAUACCGAGAGGAUUCCCUGAGUAGGACGGGACACGAGAAAUCCUGUUUGAAUUCGGGUGGACCAUCAUCCAAGGCUAAAUAUUCUCUGGAGACCGAUAGUGAACCAGUACCGUGAGGGAAAGGCGAAAAGAACCCCGGUGAGGGGAGUGAAAUAGAACCUGAAUUCGUAUGCGUACAAGCAAUCGGAGCUAUGCUCUGUUUUCAGCAAUGGAAACAUUAAGCAUAGUGACGGUGUACCUUUUGUAUAAUGGGUCAGCGAAUUACUUUCAGUGGCAAG